CAAAACAAAUUCUGUGAAACUUCUUUCAUGGCAGUAUAUGCUUGUAAGUUCUCGAUUAAAAUAUGAUAGGCUGUAGCAAGUGAAGGCAGAACAGAUGAUGCCAAAUGAAGGGGUGAUGCAUUUGCUCGAGCAUUUUCUACUCACUUGGCACGGUUGAUGGAGGAGCCUGCUGCAUAUGGGAAAUUAGGCCUAGCCAAUUUAUUGGAAAUGAGGGAAGAGUGCUUGAGAGAGUUCCAGUUUGUUGAUGCCUAUGGAAGUAUAAAACAGAGGUAUACUUUAUUUUGGAUAAUGCUACUACUUAGUAAGCUUGCAUUCAGCUACUAUGAGUCAGGAGAUAUCAAGAUUAACUUUCAAUGUGAAGCUUGAUGCUGCUGAUGCAAUUUAGUUAUCUAUUAAUAUGUUAGAUUAUUCUAUCUUUAAGUGCUAAGUGUAAUUUGUGACAUUCAUGUAACAUUAGGAUGGUCAUUUUAUUUUUUUUAGGUAUCUUUUUAUUAAGACGGUGAGAUAUUGGCCAAUGAUGUUGAAAAAUAACAUCCAAUUUUAUUGGUAUCAUGUAAUGAAUAUUAUGUUUAUUUAUGUGAUUUUUGGCUUUCUUU